rnacentral:lncRNA from 1 species
UUUUCUCCAAUUGCCUAGCUCUUCUGCCUUGGAAUCAAUACUUAGUAUCAAUUCUAAGACAGAAGAAAGAAAGAAAGAAAGAAAGAAAGAAAGAAAGAAAGAAAGAAAGAAAGAAAGAAAGAAAGAAAGAAAGAAAGAAAGAAAGAAAGAAAGAAAGAAAGAAAGAAAGAAAGAAAGAAAGAAAGAAAGAAAGAAAGAAAGAAAGAAAGAAAGAAAGAGAGAGGGAGAGAGGGAGAGAGGGAGAAAAGGAGAGAAAGAAAAAGAAAGGAAGGAAGGAAGGAAGGAAAGAAGGAAGGAAGGAAAAGGAAGGGAAGGAAGGAAAAGGAAGGGAAGGAAGGAAUAAAGAAGGGAAGGAAGGAAGGAAGGAGGGAAGGGGGAAGGAGGGAGAGAGAGGGAGAAGAAAAGAGGAGAGGAGGAGAGAAAGGAGGAAAGGAGAAAGAGAAAGAAAGAAAGAAAGAAAGAAAGAAAGAAAGAAAGAAAGAAAGAAAGAAAGAAAGAAAGAAAGAAAGAAAGAAAGAAAGAAAGAAAGAAAGAAAGAAAGAAAGAAAGAAAGAAAGAAAGAAAGAAAGAAAGAAAGGAAGGAAGGAAGGAAGGAAGAGAGAAGGAAAAACAAGCCUUUAUUAAGAGCCUACUAUGUGCUGGGCACUGUGCUAAGAGCCGGACAAAUAUUACUCAUUUGAUCUGCAUGAUAAUCCUGAAAAGUAUUAGGGUGUUCAUUUUAAGGAUGAGGAAGCUGGAGCAGUCAGAAGUUAAGUGAUUUGCUCAAAGCUAUACAGCCAGUAAGUGUUUGAGUUCAGAUUUGAACUCUGGUCUUCCUGACUCCAGGUUCAGUGCUCUACCCACCAACCAACUGCCUCUAUAAAUGCAAUGGAAUCCUUUGUGCUAUAAGAAUGAUAAAAGGGAGUUUCAGAGAAACCUAGGAAGACUUGUAUGUACUGAUGCAGAAUGAAGUGAGAACUAGAAAAAACAAUUUAUACUAUAAAUAUCAAGAGUCAAAAUGAACAAUUUAGAAAGUCUAAGGAAUUCUAAUCAAUACAUUGAUCAACCAUGAUACCUAUGAUAAAGCAGGUUUAGAUAAAAAUUAUUAAUGAUUAAUUUUUUAGUAAAGUUAUUAAGAACAGAGUUGCAGGAAAGGUUGAAUUCUGUCCUUUGUAGAGUGAAAUAAGCAGAACUGGGAGAACAUUGUACACAAUAACAGCAAUAUUGGGUGAUGAUUAUCUGUGAAAACUUGGCUACUCUCAGGAGUGCAAUAAUCUGGGACAAUCCUGGAAGACUUAUGCUCUCAACCUCCAGAGAAAGAACUGUUGGAGUCAUCUUUUCACAUCAGUGAUUUAUGGUUUUAUUUUGGGGUUCUGGUUAUGUAUAACUUUGUUCUUACAACAAUGACCAAUAUGAAAGUAUUUUUUGCAUGACAAUAAAAAUGAAAAAAAUUAAUUCUAUCCUUAGAUG